UGGCCAGUGAGGAUAUCAGAAAACAAGAACACCAUCUUUCGGGACUGAUUGGCUUAAAAUAGCCUUGUUGAUAUUCUGCAAUUCUGAGGCCU